rfam:Pteropus alecto contig103473, whole genome shotgun sequence.
GUCUACAGCCAUGCCACCGUGAACAAGCCUGAUGUCUGAUCUCGGAAGCUAAGCAGAGUCAGGCCUGGCUAGUACUUGGGUGGGAGACCACCUAGGAAAACUAGGUGCUGUAGGCA